GACGUAGGGCGCAAGCGUUGUCCGGAAUCAUUGGGCGUAAAGCGCGCGUAGGCGGCCAGAUAAGUCCGGUGUGAAAGUCACAGGCUCAACCUGUGAAUGCCGCUGGAAACUGUCUGGCUAGAGUCCGGAAGGGGCGAGUGGAAUUCCUGGUGUAGCGGUGAAAUGCGCAGAUAUCAGGAGGAACACCAAUGGCGAAGGCAGCUCGCUGGAACGGUACUGACGCUGAGGCGCGAAAGCGUGGGGAGCGAACAGG
rnacentral:rRNA from 1 species